GGGAGAUGUAAGCAUUCAGCCUAUAGCACAAUACAAAAGGAAGAUUUUUAUUUGUGUCUCUACCUACUAUUCCUGAGUCCUGAAACUGAAAGAGAUUCUACUUCUCAGACUUGAAUAAAUUUUAUGUGGCUUCUUUUCUAAAAGUCCACCUGCCAUACAGGUCUCAGAUUCCUCUAUCUUUUUAAUCAACCGGAGCUAUAGUCCAGUGAUGCUGCUGCUCUAAAGACCUAACUUUAUCAGAAAGUGAGCUGGGACCAAGAGCCUCAAACUUGAGUGCACAGAUGAUCAGGACCAGGAAACUGGUCAGACAUGUAAUGUUGACAGAGCAUGGAAUGGAAUGUGCUUACGACUGAGCCAACCAGUAUGUAAACAGGCCACUGCCCACAUGGCACAAUGUGCUGAGAGCUAAGACGUUUCCCUGACACUUUUCCUUGAUAUGCCUCCCGUUGUGAAAUUUUUAGGACUUGUUCUUCAGGGACAAAGGGGUUGACAGGUAGGAGAGACUAACACACUGGUAGGGUUUAGUUGACCUGAUGAGGCUUGUUUUGUCAAAU
rnacentral:lncRNA from 1 species